GAACAGUAACAAGCCUGAGACCAAGAUUAGAAAACACAAUGGAUUUUGGGGUGCAGAUUUUCAGCUUACUGAUAAUCUCUGUCACAGUGUCAAAGGGAGAAGUUGUGCUCAGCCAGUCUCCAGUAUCCAUAACUGCAUCUCCAGGGGAGAAGGUCACCAUCAACUGCAGGGCCAGCUCAAGUAUAAGUUCCAAUUACUUGCACUGGUACCAGCACAAGCCAGGAUCCUCCCCUAAACUCUUGAUUUAUCGGACAUCCAUCCUGGCUUCUGGAGUCCUAGACAGCUUCAUUGGCAGAGGGUCUGAGAGCUCUUACACUUUGACAAUCAGCUGCAUGCAGGAUGAAGCUGCUGCCACUUACUAUUGUCAGCAGGGGAGUACUAGCCCACCACACAGUGCUACAGACUGUAACAAAAUGUGUUUUCUUCUAGCUACUUCCUUCUAG